ensembl:lncRNA HAR1B highly accelerated region 1B
UCCCUGGGAGGCCCUGACAGCGCUUCUCUCCCUCCCAUUUUCGCUCUGGCAGCCAUCGUGGCGCAGACCGUGGAGCAGGGGCAGCUCUUACCCCUGGGUCUGGCAUCAGGAGCGUGUCCCACCGGCUCUGUUGCCGCAGCCUCAAAGCCCCACGUGGGGCAGCAGCCGGAUCGGCACUGGGGGAGCCGGAAUCCAUCAACCUCGGCCUCAGAUCAGCAUCCGCCCAGCCCUCCUGCCCCACAUCCGAGCCAUUUCAAGGGCUGCAGGGACAUUGGGAUGAUGGGGAAGUGGGCCGAGGACAGCCCCAGGGAAGGCUUUGUCUGAACUCCUCAAAUCACCGGGCGCUGACAUUUGGGAUUUUUGCCUUCCUGGCGCACCCCCACCCCACAUGCACACUCACGUGCAUGGCGUCGGCAGGAUGUGGGUGCUGCAGAGGUGCCCCCACUUCUGUGUCUCCCACGCAGCCCCGGGAACCUGGGCCCCACAGGAGCCAGGAGCUGCAGCACAGGGUGCGGCUCUGCAAUUCGCCUUCCGGUCUGUGAGUGACUCCGAGUCAGCACCCACCUUGCCUUGCUGCUUAAUCAAGGAGAGUGCUGCUGCUGGUGAUGCAGGGCAGGGCACCAACGCCCUGGGGCGAUGCAGGGCAGGGCACCAUCCACCAACGCCCCGACCCAGCGUCUCUCGUGGGGUCAAGGUUACAAGGAAGGCGGGCCAGGGGCGAGGCCUGCCUCUGUCCACAGGCAGACACGGAUGCCGAGGCUGGAAGGACCUUCCUGGCCCUCUCCUAACGGAGGCCCCGAGAGGGGAGGAGGCUGCAGGGAUCAUCCAGCCCCUCAGGGCAGCACUCAGACCAGCCUCAGGGCCAUCAGCCAGGACGGCCGGUAUCCUUGACUCUUGCUUCAGGUCCCAACACUCUAUUUCAAGGGGAUGCUGGGCCCUCCCCAAUAACUCCCCACCGUGUCCCAGGAGAGCCUCCAGCUGGCCAAGAAGCCUCACCUGGCUCACAGCUUUGCUGCCCUUAAACUGAGGUCACAACAGGCCCUGGUGUCAGUGCAGCCUUGGCUCCCAAGGGUGACACAUCCGCGCCUUUCCGUGGAUCCCAGGCUGGUGUGGGGAGGGUGUCAGGUGGGCAGGUGGGCUGCCAGGAUGGCUGGCACAGGGGUUCCUGGGGCCUGGGACAUCCAGGGAUGGGAACGGGCAGGUGUCCUGGGGAAGGGAAGGCUGGCCCGAGUGUCGCUGAGGCCUUGAGAAUGCCCUGAGCAGA